UUGUGGUUAUAGAAUACGACAGUUCCAGGUCACCAUGACAAGAUCCAAGGGGCGAUGGUCACACAUGGCGAGGCGGGGUGGCCGUUAAUAGGAGGGGAUAGAGAGGGCACCGAAAUAGGGUUGAAGGAUGGGUGAAGUGAAGGCGGCACUCGGUAACGGGGGAGUCAGAAAAAAAUGAGGGAGGGAGAUAUAUUUGAGAAUGUUGCUGAGCCUGGUGGGCCAUAUUAGCUACGAGGAGACUAUACAUCGAGUACAAAGGCAGGAGGGAGCUUGAUUGCAAGACUCAACCGUCCAGCAGAGAUGAAAGUCGUCCUUAGUGAUCUGACGAUGCCGAGAGGAAGGGCAAUCGCUUAACGGAUAAAAGUUACUCUAGGGAUAACAUGAUGAUCUUCCCUAUGAGUUCACUUCGACGGGACACUCGGUGUCGGCUCUUCAUCACCUAGAGUUGUAGGUGGUUCCAAGGGUUGGGUUGUUCGUCCAAUAAUGUGGUAUGUGAGCUGGGUUCAGAACAUCGUGAGACAAUUCUAUUUAUAUCUGGUGUGGGUGUUAGAGCAUUGAGAGGACCUUUCCCUAGUACGAGAGGACCGGGAAGGACGCACCUCUGGUGUACCAGUUAUCGUGCCUACGGUAAACGCUGGGUAGCCAAGUGCGGAGAGGAUAACUGCUGAAAGCAUAUAAGUAGUAAGCCCACCCCAAGAUGAGUGCUCUCUCCUCCG
rnacentral:ncRNA from 1 species